ACAUUAACUUGGUGAUAGGAGUGAAAAAAUAAGGAUAUCUAUUCAUCAUGUAUACUUCUGCUUCUCAAGUCACUCCCUCAAUCGACUGAUUUCUCUAUAACACCUUUACUGAAGUAAUUUAUUUCUCAGUUUGUAGACCUAGUGAUUAAGAAUCUCAACAGAAAUCUCCUUUCAAGUAAAGCUUUCUUUCACACCCACUCUCUAAGGUCACAACCAUAGAUGGAUCCCUAAUAUACUUCUUUAACAUGGACAUGUGGAAGAUUGGAUGACCUGCAGCUAACUACUGGAAUAAACUCAAACUCUCUCCUCCUCACAUCAUCAUUGAUUUCUAGUGGUUCUGAGCUAUUUUCAACCUCUUUUUAAUUAACUAAAAUUUCUUCAUCGCCUCAUGAAUUGAAUCUGGCCUAAUCAAAUUAGCUCCACUAACUUAAAACCAACCAAUCAGAGACAUGUAUCUAUGCCCAUAUAAAGCUUGUAAAGGUGCUAUCAAUAUGCUACGUUGAUAACUAUUAUUAUGUGUACUCGAUGAUAGGUGAAUGAUAAAAAAGCGCGCACACACAAAAAAGGUGCACCACCAACGUCAUAAGUAAAUGCAUUUUCAAUGAAAAAGGAACUCUUUUACAUUUUUUCCAUUACUUUUGAACUGGACGGCAUAACCAACAUCAUAUAUCUACAUAAAAGUGCACCAUGAGUUAUGUGGGUCUGAUCAUCACCUGAAUGGCUAGGCCCCAAUCUAUGAGGCCACGUGGAUUGAGAUAUAACAUUACACAUGACUAAAUCAUCAUCCUGAUGGAUAAAGAAACAUAAGGUUGUCCAAUUUAUGGAUUGAACCUUCCCUACGUUGGAAAAACAUAAGUUUUUGGUGUCGAGCCAUAAGGACUCCUACCAUCUUGACUAACCAUCCAAUUCUCUUAAAUACAUAUUUUUUUUCAUUGAAGUUGUAGGAAGGAGUCAUUCACAUUUCAUUAUAAAUCCCCAUUUUAACCCUCCAUUUACAUAAGUGGAUCCAUAUAGACUUGAUAUUUCCAUAACAAAACUUGUAAGUCAUCAUUUUUAAAUAGUAUCAUUAUGGAGGUCAUUCAAGUAUUCAAAGAGUUCCACAAGAACAAGUACAAUUUAUAUGGUGCAUAGACAAUCAAUUUAGCAUAUUCUUUGACUUAAUAAUUAUACUACUCAAUCCCAAGAGUGAAUUUAAAGAAAACAACAGUAACCCAAUUUGAAUUCAUGGUAUGAACAUAGAAAACUUCCCUUUAUUUGGUAAAAACACAUUAAGAUUCAAUCUUAAAUUUAAUGAUCAUAAGUUGGGAAAAUAGUUUGAGAACAAGGAAUUUUUGGUAAUUAGAAACCAUAGAGUCUGAAAUAGUUUCACAUACCUUAACAAGGAGAUUUACAGAGAAAAGUUGAAACUAAGCUUUGAACAUUGCUACGUAGACUUGAAUGACUUGGAUUCUUGGGUGAAUGACAGGGUGUGUAUUGAUUUAGGUUUUAGGAAAAUAAUAUAGUAGGAAGCAUUUUGGAAUAGGUGGGGAUGGUUUUUAAUCAAUAAAAGGAGAAAAAAUCCUUGGAAAAUCCAUCAACAGAAGGAGGAUCCCGCGACUAGAACCCCCUUUCAUGGCAUGCCUACAUCGCAGAGCACGGGUGGUCAGAUGCACACCUUUUUCUGGGAUAUUAUGUGGUAAAUAGAGGUUAAAUGUUAACCAUAAUGGGUGUAUAGUUAAUUUUGAAGACUCUUAACAUAUCCAAUAAUAAAAUUUGCACACCUUUUGCCAACUUCCUAGCUCCGCUGCUAUUGCGGAGGUAGGUGGUCUGUGCCACGCCUCAAAUAUGGAGGCUCACUAAUUAGACCAUAAUGCUUUGCUCCAAACUCAGUUUUACAAACACUUAAUGGCGUUGGAAAGAAUAUUCAAAAACCGUUAAUUUGAUAGAUAAUAGGACCAGUAACUCUUUAUUUUUUUGGAGUUAUGCUCGUUUGAAGUUGAC
rnacentral:lncRNA from 1 species